GACGAACGCUGGCGGCGUGCUUAACACAUGCAAGUCGAACGGUAAGGCCCUUCGGGGUACACGAGUGGCGAACGGGUGAGUAACACGUGGGUGAUCUGCCCUGCACUUCGGGAUAAGCCUGGGAAACUGGGUCUAAUACCGGAUAGGACUCCUGGCUUCAUGGUUGGGGGUGGAAAGCUUUUGCGGUGUGGGAUGGGCCCGCGGCCUAUCAGCUUGUUGGUGGGGUAAUGGCCUACCUAGGCGACGACGGGUAGCCGGCCUGAGAGGGUGACCGGUGACACUGGGGGUGAGAUACGGCCCAGACUCCUACGGGAGGCAGCGGUGGGGAAUAUUGCACAAUGGGCGCAAGCCUGAUGCAGCGACGCCGCGUGAGGGAUGACGGCCUUCGGGUUGUAAACCUCUUUCAGCUAUGACGAAGCGCAAGUGACGGUAGUAGCAGAAGAAGGACCGGCCAACUACGUGCCAGCCGCCGCCGUAA
rnacentral:rRNA from 1 species